UACGUAGGGUCCAAGCGUUGUCCGGAUUUAUUGGGCGUAAAGAGCUCGUAGGCGGUUUCGUAAGUCGGAUGUGAAAACUCAGGGCUCAACCCGGAGACGCCAUCUGAUACUGCGAUGACUUGAGUCUGGUAGGGGAACACGGAAUUCCUGGUGUAGCGGUGAAAUGCGCAGAUAUCAGGAGGAACACCGGUGGCGAAGGCGGGUCUCUGGGCCGAUACUGACGCUGAGGAGCGAAAGCGUGGGGAGCGAACAGG
rnacentral:rRNA from 1 species